AUAGGUAACGGCUUACCAAGGCGACGAUCAGUAGCCGGACUGAGAGGUUGAUCGGCCACAUUGGGACUGAGACACGGCCCAGACUCCUACGGGAGGCAGCAGUGGGGAAUAUUGCACAAUGGAGGAAACUCUGAUGCAGCGAUGCCGCGUGAGGGAAGAAGGUUUUAGGAUUGUAAACCUCUGUCUUCAGGGACGAAAAAAGACGGUACCUGAGGAGGAAGCUCCGGCUAACUACGUGCCAGCAGCCGCGGUAAUACGUAGGGAGCGAGCGUUGUCCGGAAUUACUGGGUGUAAAGGGAGCGUAGGCGGGAUCGCAAGUCAGAUGUGAAAACUAUGGGCUUAACCCAUAAACUGCAUUUGAAACUGUGGUUCUUGAGUGAAGUAGAGGUAAGCGGAAUUCCUAGUGUAGCGGUGAAAUGCGUAGAUAUUAGGAGGAACAUCAGUGGCGAAGGCGGCUUACUGGGCUUUAACUGACGCUGAGGCUCGAAAGCGAGGGGAGCAAACAGGAUUAGAUACCCUGUAGUCCACGCCGUAAACGAUGAUUACUAGGUGUGGGGGGACUGACCCCUUCCGUGCCGCAGCAAACGCAAUAAGUAAUCCACCUGGGGAGUACGACCGCAAGGUUGAAACUCAAAGGAAUUGACGGGGGCCCGCACAAGCAGUGGAGUAUGUGGAUUAAUUCGAAGCAACGCGAAGAACCUUACCAGGUCUUGACAUCGUAUGCAUAGCUCAGAGAUGAGUGAAAUCUCUUCGGAGACAUAUAGACAGGUGGUGCAUGGUUGUCGUCAGCUCGUGUCGUGAGAUGUUGGGUUAAGUCCCGCAACGAGCGCAACCCUUACUGUUAGUUGCUACGCAAGAGCACUCUAGCAGGACUGCCGUUGACAAAACGGAGGAAGGUGGGGAUGACGUCAAAUCAUCAUGCCCCUUAUGACCUGGGCCUCACACGUACUACAAUGGCUGUCAACAGAGGGAAGCAAAGCCGCGAGGUGGAGCGAACCCCUAAAAGCAGUCUUAGUUCGGAUUGUAGGCUGCAACCCGCCUACAUGAAGUCGGAAUUGCUAGUAAUCGCAGAUCAGCAUGCUGCGGUGAAUACGUUCCCGGGCCUUGUACACACCGCCCGUCACGCCAUGGGAGUCGGUAACACCCGAAGCCUGUAGUCUAACCGCAAGGAGGACGCAGUCGAAGGUGGGAUUGAUGACUGGGGUGAAGUCGUAACAAGGUAGCCGUAUCGGAAGGUGCGGCUG
rnacentral:rRNA from 1 species